rnacentral:tRNA from 1 species
GGGGUUGUAGCUCAGUAGUUGAGUGCUUGCCUUGCAUGCAUGAGGCACUGGGUUCAAUCCUCAGCACCCAUA